rnacentral:lncRNA from 1 species
UGUUUUUUAAUGAUUUUUUUGGGGGGGGGAAACGUGUGGACACUCCAGGUGUUGAUUUAGAAUUGUAUCUGAAGGUGUGUGGAUGAACGGCCCGUUGGACAGACGAUAUAAAGGUUUUUACAGCAGGUUGACUGACUCAGUGAUUACUACGUAGACACCUUAGAGCAGCUCUGACCCUGCUGCUCUCCUACCUUUUAUCAUUCGUCCCAGGUCUAAAUCAGUCCCUGAUUAGAGGGGAAUCACCCACCUGGUGUCCCAGGUCUAAAUCAGUCCCUGAUUAGAGGGGAAUCACCCACCUGGUGUCCCCAGGUCUAAAUCAGUCCCUGAUUAGAGGGGGAAUCACCCACCUGGUGUCCCCAGGUCUAAAUCAGUCCCUGAUUAGAGGGGAACAGUGACGCUGGCUUGGAGCUCCAGGGUCCUAGAGGUCAUAGCUGUUCUACAUGUUAUUCUAUGGGCUUUAAUCAGUCAGGAUCGGCUGCUUUCAUCUCCAGUGUGUUUUGCUGUACAGCAGGUUUCUCAAACUCGGUCCCGGGGUCCCCUCUUGGGUACAACGUUUUGGUUGUUGUCCUAGCACGACACAGCUGACUGAAAUUACAACUAAAACAUGUACACACACACACACACACACACACACACACACACACACACACACACACACACACACACACACACGUGUGUCUGCCCUUGUAUGGGCGGUGUAGUGUCUAUAUAUAAGGGCUAAAGGAGAUCUGUUGGAUCAUGUAGCA